rnacentral:rRNA from 1 species
UACAGAGGUCUCAAGCGUUGUUCGGAUUCAUUGGGCGUAAAGGGUGCGUAGGCGGCGCGGUAAGUCGGGUGUGAAAUCUCGGAGCUUAACUCCGAAACUGCAUUCGAUACUGCCGUGCUUGAGGACUGGAGAGGAGACUGGAAUUUACGGUGUAGCGGUGAAAUGCGCAGAUAUCGGGAGGAACACCAGUAGCGAAGGCGACACUCUGGGCCGGUACUGACGCUGAGGAGCGAAAGCGUGGGGAGCAAACAGG